GAGGGUAUAGCUCAGUGGUAGAGUGUGUGUGCUGCAUGCACGAGGUCCUGGGUUCACCCCCAGUACCUCCA
rfam:Camelus ferus unplaced genomic scaffold scaffold755, whole genome shotgun sequence.